UUCCCAAAAUUUCCUAGCUAAUAUUCACAUCGAGGGCAAUUCUUUAGUUCGAGUUCCAGAGUUUGCCUUUUCUUUUCUUAACCCUUGUUUGUUUCCCUAGAAAAAGACUUUCCCACCCAUUUUGCGACAAAACCUUUCUGCUAAAAACCCAUUUUGCGUCAAUCAAUCUUCUUCUCAAAUCUUCUCAAUCAAUCUUCUAAUUGCUCUUUUCUUCUCAAUCUUCUUCUCGUUGGAAUUCAUCGAAUUGCUUUGUUCUUCUCAAUCUUCUUCUCGUUGCAAUUAGGGCAGAAGGUUUUAAGGUUUAGUCAAUCUGUCUUCUUCUUCUUGUGAUUAGCAAACACUGAUAUUCCAGCAUUGGUCAACUCUUGGCAAGCUUUGAGCUUCAAGCGCGUGAGGUUUCGGCACUUCAGAGCUAUUAAAACAAGUGCAUCAUCCCCGAUGCCGACGGAUCUACGGUCACAUUUGAGAUUUGAUUUGGCAUUGAGAGGGAGAUGGUGACGACUCUGUCCCUUGAUUCUGAGCCAGCGACGACAUACUAGAGAGCAUCUUUUGCGAUCCCCGGAGCUAAGAGACUGGAAAAUGCAAGCCAAGCACUCUUCGGGCAUAUUUGAGAUGAAAUCAGACACUUCGAUGACAUGUUCACGUGCAGCAGUGUUGUACUUUUUUCUUUCUCAAAAUUUCUUUGAUUUGCAGGUUGUUUUGUCUGGGGUUUUUCAGCUAUCAAACUCAACUUUAACAUGAGAUAUUGAAAUUUCUGUUUUUUUUUUUUUAAAUGUGAUGUUUUGAUAAACGAAUAUUUAGAUGUUGAUAUUUUAAUGAGUGAAUGGAUUUUUAAACAGGAGUUCAAGCCCAUGAAAGUUGAGUUGCUGGAAGAUGACGAGAUUUUGUUGUUGGAGUUUUCCGAGAACCUUCCAGUUGGGAUGGGUGUUUUGGCUAUUGGAUUUGAGGGAAUGUUAAAUUAAAAAAUGAAAGGAUUCUAUAGAAGUUUCACAGCUGACUCAAGACAGGUUAGAAAGUGAACCUUUGUCACCAAAUCGAGCGAGUUUCCUUUCUGAACAAAACAAGCUUCUCACAAAGGACUUGGAAGAUGUCCAAACCAUGGAGGAAACUAGAGGUGCAUCUUGUAAACCUUAUCAAAUAUGGGCUCUAUUUCUGGCAUAAGGAUGUGCCGCUUUAUUAUAGGAUAAGAUUAUGUGAAAUGGUUGAUAUAACCAUCUGUUACCUAAUGGCUCAGUUUUGUGGGGAAAAGGAGUUAUGUGUGGGAACAAUCGAAAUAGAUAUUCUUUAUAUGAAUAGAACAUAGAAUAUAUUUACAUGCACUUUUUUUUUUGGCUAAUUUUUUUC